rfam:Trichoplax adhaerens TRIADscaffold_2336 genomic scaffold, whole genome shotgun sequence.
GUAUUACCUUGUGUAAUACAUUUACUAAAAUUGGAACGAUACAGAGAAGAUUAGCAUGGCCCCUGCGCAAGGAUGACACGCGGUUGACGUGAAGCGUUCCUUUUCUCG